rnacentral:rRNA from 1 species
ACGGCUGAACCAGCAACUUGCAGGAAUGAGAGUUAAUAUAAAUGAUUUAUUAACUUGCUUGACUAGGUCUUAUAAAGUUCUGGAUAAAGCUGAUAAUGACAACUUUAUAUCCAUAGGUCUCGACUAAAUCUUGUGCCAGCAGUCGCGGUAAGACAAGGGAGACGAGUGUUAUUCAUCUUGAACAGGUAUAUUGGGUACCUAGACUGUGAAUUAAGGCUUUUAUAGUACCUUAUACACUAGAGUUUAAUAUGUGAGAGGUAGAUGUCAGAAUUAUUGGUGUAGAGAUGAAAUCCUUUGAUACCAAUAGGACUGAUUACGGCGAAGGCAAACCUUUAUGUAUAUGUAUUACUAAUUAUUAGUUGUUAAUAAGACUACUAGAUUUAAAAGUAAACCACUGGAUUGCUAAUAGAUCUUAGUAUAACUGGCCAUAAUAAUUUUAACGUGAAACAGAAUAAAAACACAGAGUAGUACAGAACUGACGUUGAGGGACGAAGGCUCAGAGAGUGAAGAGGAUUAGAUACCCCCGUAGCCUGGGCAGACAAUGAUGAGUGCCAUAGGUUGGCUUUAAGUUGAACUAUAAAUGAAAGUGGAAGCACUCCACCUCAAGAGUAAUGUGGCAACGCAGGAACUGAAAUCAUUAGACCGUUUCUGAAACCAGUAGUGAAGUAUGUUAUUUAAUUCGAUGAUCCGCGAAUAACCUUACCACAAUUUGAAUGCUCUAAGUUUUAUAUAAUUUAUUUAUAUGCUUAAUAUAUUAUAAUUAGAUUACUUAGACCACAUGCGUUGCAUGGCUGUCUUCAGUUAAUGUCGUGAGAUUUGGUUAGGUCCAUUAAAUUAACGUAAACCCUUGUUUUAUUUAAUACAAUAAGGCAGCACUCCGCUUACAAUUGGAUAUGAUAACAGGGACUAAGACAAGUCAUCAUGGCCUUAAUAUUGUGGGCUAUAGACGUGCCACAUA